GCCAGGGUGGCAUAGUGGUUCGAGUGCUGAACUACGACUCUGGAGAGAAGGGUUCAAUUCCCAGCUCAGCCA